CUGACUGGAGGACAGUUUCAUCAACUUUACGGUCAAGGUGUUUUCCCUCCUUACUCCUACACAGCAACCUCGUGCCAAGCCCCCAGCACUUCACCGGCACAAAGAUUAGAUCCGACUCCAGUCCCUUCCACUUGGAUCCAGCAGGGGCCACUUGGGUUGCUGCCAGGGCAAGGGGCUUCCCCAGCUUUUCCAGAUAAAGGGGCUGCCUUUCCGGUACUCCAGACGCUUCCAACGGGAGCCACGUACACACUCCAGCCUGUGGCUUCUCUUCCGCCACUUCAGCAAGGGACUCAAAGCGUUGCCGCAUCCAUUGCAAAUUGUAGCAGCUCUGCAUCUUCAGUGCCGUACUCACAAGCCUGCUAUCCAACAGCCACACCACAGAGCUGUUCAGCAGCAGCCCACACAGAUCCUCUGGCUGGCUGUGCUGGUCCUACUGCUUCAGCGUGCACCCACGACAGCUUUGUCCAGGUGAGCGUAGCCUACUGAAAGGAGGUGAAAGCGAAGGAGACUGUAUGAAUGAACUGCAGAAUCCUCCAAUGCAGUCAUCUUAUGAAGCUGAACUGAUGCCGUCUGACUGGCUAUGUAAUACAUCUGAAGAAAACAAGAAGGCAGAAGUCAGUCUUGAAGCCAUGUUUCAGGUUGCUGCUGAGGUGCAUUCAUCAUGCAAAGCUGAAAAGGUGGGAGUGGCACCUGUAGAGAGCCAGAAUUCAAUCCUGGAGCUUAAUGGAAAUCAGGCACUGCCUGUUAAUAGUUACACACCUUCUUCAACUGAGGAAAGCCAGCUGGAAUGUCUCGCUCCUGUAACUUCAGACACGUCAUUUCUGGUGGCAGCAGAUCGAACACUGAAUUUGUCUCCAUUACAGCCUUCUGACAUUCUUUGUGCUGCCGAUACCACUCUGUCUAUAGAAACUGCUGCUGCUGCUAAAAUACUACAAGAACUUCUGACCACACAGGAAGCAGAUGAAGAACGGAGCAAAGAACCACAUCACCGCGCAGCUGAGUUCUCCCUCAUGAUUUUUCAGGAAGAAUUGUUCAGUCCAGAGCAGGUAAGGGGUAAAGGGAGGUAAACCAACAUCUUUCUUGAGCUAACUAUAUUUGAUAGUAAUGCUAGGGUCUGGACCGAUAGCUUUUCAAUAUUCUUGCCUGCUUAAGAACCGAAGGCUUCUUUAAUUAAGCUUUUAAUGGACAGUGAAGGGUUUGCUUGUUAAAGCAAGAUAUAAAAAAGAAGACGGAAUGAAAAAGUAUCCCAUGUUAAUGAGCAUGACAUGUGUCAGCCUGUUGGCCAAGUUAGGGUGUUCAUUUGCAUGGGAAACAUGCGUAGUGCAGGUGUAUUCGUGGUGAUGAAGUGGAUGCUUUUUUAGGUUGUAACAUACCAUCUUUAAUCUCCAACAAAGAAGAGUAUUUUGAGAAUUGCCACUGGAGGCAGAUUUUUGCUUAA